AUUGAACGCUGGCGGCAGGCCUAACACAUGCAAGUCGAACGAGUCGCGGACGGGUGAGUAAUGUCUGUGAAACUUCCCGAUGGAGGGCGAUAACUACCGGAAACUUAUGCUACUAACGCAUACCAUCGCCUAUGCCCAGAUGGGAUGAGCUAGUGGGGGGGGUAAAGGAUCACCUAGGCGACGAUCCCUUGCUGGUCUGAGAGGAUGCACAGCCACACUGGAACUGAGACACGGUCCAGACUCCUACGGGAGGCAGAAGUGGGGAAUAUUGCACAAUGGGCGCAAGCCUGAUACAGCCAUGCCGCGUGUAUGAAGAAGGCCUUCGGGUUGUAAAGUACUUUCAGCGAGGAGGCGUUACUCGCAGAAGAAGCACCGGCUAACUCCGUGCCAGCAGCCGCGGUAAUUC
rnacentral:rRNA from 1 species